CAGGGACGGGCAGCUUUGUGCCCAGACCCCUGGGCCUUUCCCGGGGUGUGGGGCUGGCCGUGGAGGCCCAGUGCACGUCACCCACGGGGGCUGCUGUGCUCUUUGCAGAGCUGCUUUGCUUGCGGCGAGCAUGGCGCUGCGAUCGACUGCCAGGGGAAGGAUUGCAGCCGCAGCUUCCACCUCCCCUGCGCCUCCAGCAACGGCUGCGUCACGCAGUUUUUCAAGGCCUACAGGUCCUUCUGCUCGGAGCACCGCCCGGAGCAGGCGGUGCCGGUACCCCCAGACGAAGAAACCACUGUACCUCUAUUUUCCAGGUUAUUUCCCAACUUAUUCUGGAUUCUGCUGCGAGCCUAUUUUAGCUCUACCAAAAAAUCAGGAUUUCUGUCUCAUUGGAGAGAGGAAUUCCCUGGCAGCAUCGCAACUGAAAUGUUCUAGGCACCCAACAGAAAUGGGACAGACGAACAUGGAUUGAACGUAUUAAGCCAGUGGCUAAUGCUACAACAGGUAGGAGUCAACAAGAAAGCAAAAGACUUUACAUGAGGACUAUCACUGGUAGGACAUAAAAAAGGAGAAUACAGAAUUAAGCAAGACAGUUGAGCCUGUGCCACUCUUAGAUGGUCCAUUCAGUUUGAUGGCUUGGGGUUUAUUGCUCUCUAGGAGACACCUGAGGUUCAAACACUUGGAAUAUACUUGCGAGGGGAGUAACUAAGCCAGGACUUUAACAGAACCUGGGCAGGAAAACUUCCCGACCUCUAACCUGCCCCUUCGCGCCUACGUUGUGUGCACAGACAACUCUCCGGGCACACCCCGGUUGUUCCAGCUCUAAAGCAAGUGCUAAUGCUGCUUCACCAAGUGCCAAGAGCAGCCCCGGUGUUUUGCUCCUAAACCACUCUCCACCAGGAACCUCCAGUUCCUUCAGGCGUAGUUGUUCAGAGAAUCCAGACAAGAAGGUGACAAAUCCUAUUCCUUCGGAAGAAAAGUCAGGGAUACGUCCUCGAGUGCAGAAACUGAGUUUGCCUUUGACUACAGUCUUGACCCUUCAGCGCCCAGAUAUAUCUGAACGUUCCAGCCAACACCAGAAAAAAAAAAAAAAUCACUGCUGUAAGGAGCUAAAGGUGAAGGUUCAUCAAAUACAAGCAAACAGGAACUUCUCCAGCAACACCACAGUACUUCUGCAGGUAUGUUUACGUACUCUCAUGCCUGGCUUUUUAAGUUACAGUUUUCAAAGACUCCCUGUUCUGAGCUGAGGAUUAGCUUACUUGAUCCUGUUGCUAACGUUUACGUAGCAUUUGGGUUUUAGCUUAAUACUUUUCCUACGGAUCCACUUUAGCAGAGACCGAGAGCAGGCACUAAUGGCUUAAUUUGUGAAGGGGUGCGGAAAGGGCCGUGCAAAAGCAAAACUUGUACCCAUUAGUUAUGUCUGUUCUUUGCUAGCCGAGACCCCUCGGCAGAGGCAAAGCACCUGUUUUGCAAAGGAGCCGAUACACUCGAUCUUAAUUUUCGCUUCAGCCUUUUCCUUUUGCAGUCCCAGUAUUUGUUCUCCGUGCUUCCCAAAACACGUGUCUCCACUUGAGAGUGCUGGUCCUCUGCUGCCCAAAACAGGCUCCCCUGCCUCGCGCCGGGAGCUUGGCGUGACCAGCCGCGGUGCCAAGCGGGAGCCUUCGGCCGACGGGAAGCCCAGGGGGCCCUGAGCUUUCCUGGGCCCAGCCUUGCGCACCGCGCGUGCCCUCGGCAAUCGGGGUGCCUGAAGACAACGUGUCCGUCAUGAAAUUGCAGACUAACCAAAGCAGAACAAAGUUUCGGCAGGGUUGUGAGCCUCUGCUUCAUUUUUUUCCCUCUAUGAUGCAACAAAGUAAGUUUUAUUUA